rnacentral:rRNA from 1 species
GACGAACGCUGGCGGCGUGCUUAACACAUGCAAGUCGAGCGGUAAGGCCCUUUCGGGGGUACACGAGCGGCGAACGGGUGAGUAACACGUGGGUGACCUGCCCUCAGCUCUGGGAUAAGCCCGGGAAACUGGGUCUAAUACUGGAUAUGACUCCAUGACGCAUGUUGUGGGGUGGAAAGCCUUGUGCGGCUGAGGAUGGGCCCGCGGCCUAUCAGCUUGUUGGUGGGGGAUGGCCUACCAAGGCGACGACGGGUAGCCGGCCUGAGAGGGCGACCGGCCACACUGGGACUGAGACACGGCCCAGACUCCUACGGGAGGCAGCAGUGGGGAAUCUUGCGCAAUGGGCGAAAGCCUGACGCAGCGACGCCGCGUGA